rnacentral:rRNA from 1 species
ACGCUCGACACCUACGGGGCAGCAGUAGGGAAUCUUCCACAAUGGACGCAAGUCUGAUGGAGCAACGCCGCGUGAGUGAAGAAGGUCUUCGGAUCGUAAAACUCUGUUGUUAGAGAAGAACACGAGUGAGAGUAACUGUUCAUUCGAUGACGGUAUCUAACCAGCAAGUCACGGCUAACUACGUGCCAUCAGCCGCGGUAAUCUGAGCGGGCUGGCAAGGC